CUGAAGUGACGUCAUAAGUUUAUAAAAGUCGCGGCCCUUCGUCGUCACAUCCUCUUUCCGUUGCUCUUCUCGCUUUGAGAAAAGUCUCCACACGAUGAGAGCCAAGUGGAGGAAGAAGCGUAUGCGCAGGCUGAAGCGUAAAAGGAGAAAGAUGAGGCAGAGGUCAAAGUAAGCCCUCAUCCCUGCCAGCUGUGAUCCAUCUGAGUUUCUCCAGAUCUACAACCCCAUUCCUCCAAAGAGUGGAUUGCUUGGAGCAUCUACUGAAAUUGUGGCCAAGUCCUGAUUUUUCCAUCAGAGGACGACUUACACCUGGCCAAGCUGUGGAUGCGUAACUGGAGGAAGGCAAAGAUACUGGAAGGAUAUCAGAAGUGCAGCUGCGUUGUUCAUGGACCAUAAUACAACUUGUUUUCCAAACUGUCAUGUGGUGUAUUGAACAAUAAAUGAACACUGUUAAGUUUCCAAACA